GUGCUUGCUUCAGCAGCACAUACAUUAAAAUUGGAACAAUAUGGAGAAGAUUAGCCUGGCCCCUGUGCAAAGAUGACCUGCAAAUUUUUGAAGUGUUCUAUAUUUUU
ensembl:snRNA RNU6-1237P RNA, U6 small nuclear 1237, pseudogene